rnacentral:rRNA from 1 species
AUUGAACGCUGGCGGCAGGCCUAACACAUGCAAGUCGAACGAGUGGCGGACGGGUGAGUAAUGUCUGGGAAACUGCCUGAUGGAGGGGGAUAAAUACUGGAAACGGUAGCUAAUACCGCAUACCAUCGGAUGUGCCCAGAUGGGAGUAGCUAGUAGGUGGGGUAAAGGCUCACCUAGGCGACGAUCCCUAGCCGGUCUGAGAGGAUGACCAGCCACACUGGAACUGAGACACGGUCCAGACUCCUACGGGAGUCAGCAGUGGGUAAUAUUGCACAAUGGGCGCAAGCCGGAUGCAGCCAGGCCGCGUGUAUGAAGAAGGCCUUCGGGUUGUAAAGUACUUUCAGCGGUGAGGCGUUACCCGCAGAAGAAGCACCGGCUAACUCCGUGCCAGCAGCCGCGGUAAUUC